AAGUGAGAAUGCCGGUGUGAGUAGCGAAAGACGGGUGAGAAUCCCGUCCACCGAUUGACUAAGGUUUCCAGAGGAAGGCUCGUCCGCUCUGGGUUAGUCGGGUCCUAAGCUGAGGCCGACAGGCGUAGGCGAUGGAUAACAGGUUGAUAUUCCUGUACCACCUAUAAUCGUUUUAAUCGAUGGGGGGACGCAGUAGGAUAGGCGAAGCGUGCGAUUGGAUUGCACGUCUAAGCAGUAAGGCUGAGUAUUAGGCAAAUCCGGUACUCGUUAAGGCUGAGCUGUGAUGGGGAGAAGACAUUGUGUCUUCGAGUCGUUGAUUUCACACUGCCGAGAAAAGCCUCUAGAUAGAAAAUAGGUGCCCGUACCGCAAACCGACACAGGUAGUCAAGAUGAGAAUUCUAAGGUGAGCGAGCGAACUCUCGUUAAGGAACUCGGCAAAAUGACCCCGUAACUUCGGGAGA
rnacentral:rRNA from 1 species